rnacentral:ncRNA from 1 species
AGUAGCUCUGGAGAAUCCCAAUAGGGUGCCGAAGGUGCAAACGCCGGUCUGUAAGGAUGCAGAUGCGGCGCCAAUCUCUCAGGCAAAAGGACAGGGU